rnacentral:rRNA from 1 species
UAGGGAAUCUUCCGCAAUGGGCGAAAGCCUGACGGAGCAACGCCGCGUGAGUGAUGAAGGUCUUCGGAUCGUAAAACUCUGUUAUUAGGGAAGAACAAAUGUGUAAGUAACUAUGCACGUCUUGACGGUACCUAAUCAGAAAGCCACGGCUAACUACGUGCCAGCAGCCGCGGUAAUACGUAGGUGGCAAGCGUUAUCCGGAAUUAUUGGGCGUAAAGCGCGCGUAGGCGGUUUUUUAAGUCUGAUGUGAAAGCCCACGGCUCAACCGUGGAGGGUCAUUGGAAACUGGAAAACUUGAGUGCAGAAGAGGAAAGUGGAAUUCCAUGUGUAGCGGUGAAAUGCGCAGAGAUAUGGAGGAACACCAGUGGCGAAGGCGACUUUCUGGUCUGUAACUGAUGCUGAUGUGCGAAAGCGUGGGGAUCAAACAGG